rnacentral:rRNA from 1 species
AGUGAACGCUGGCGGUAGGCCUAACACAUGCAAGUCGAACGGCAGCACAGAGGAGCUUGCUCCUUGGGUGGCGAGUGGCGGACGGGUGAGGAAUACAUCGGAAUCUCCUCUGUAGUGGGGGAUAACGUAGGGAAACUUACGCUAAUACCGCAUACGACAUACGGGUGAAAGCAGGGGAUCUUCGGACCUUGCGCGAUUGAAUGAGCCGAUGUCGGAUUAGCUAGUUGGCGGGGUAAAGGCCCACAAAGGCGACGAUCCGUAGCUGGUCUGAGAGGAUGAUCAGCCACACUGGAACUGAGACACGGUCCAGACUCCUACGGGAGGCAGCAGUGGGGAAUAUUGGACAAUGGGCGCAAGCCUGAUCCAGCCAUACCGCGUGGGUGAAGACGGCCUUCGGGUUGUAAAGCCCUUUUGUUGGGAAAGAAAUCCAUCUGGUUAAUACCCGGGUGGGAUGACGGUACCCAAAGAAUAAGCACCGGCUAACUUCGUGCCAGCAGCCGCGGUAA